GACGGAGGGUGCAAGCGUUAAUCGGAAUUACUGGGCGUAAAGGGUGCGUAGGUGGUUAAUUAAGUUAUCUGUGAAAUCCCUGGGCUCAACCUGGGCAGGUCAGAUAAUACUGGUUAACUCGAGUAUGGGAGAGGGUAGUGGAAUUUCCGGUGUAGCGGUGAAAUGCGUAGAGAUCGGAAGGAACACCAGUGGCGAAGGCGGCUACCUGGCCUAAUACUGACACUGAGGCACGAAAGCGUGGGGAGCAAACAGGG
rnacentral:rRNA from 1 species